GUUGGCCCUUGACGCCGCUCACCGGUCGACGACGCUCCUCCCAAGUCUUUGUCUCGAUAUGCUUGUCCUUGAUUGUGAGCUGUUUUAGAGUCGAAGUAGAUGAUGAAGAAGAAGGAUCUUUUGGUCUUUAUGGAUGUCUCCAUUGAUGGGGACCCUGCUGAAAGAAUGAUUUUUGAGUUGCUCCAAAGACGGCAGAAAAUUUCCGAGCACUCUAUACCGGAGAGAAGGGAAUUGGCCGAAGACGGGAGGCCACCGCACUUGAAGGGGUCAUUUUUCCAUCGGAUCAUUAGAGGCUUUAUGGCUCGUGUAUGUUUGUUUGUUCA